UUUUGACCUAAAGUAAAAAGUCGAAAGUCUUUUAUUGAUAUUUUCUUGUAACCAAAAACUAAAAGAAAGGUCAUCCGUCUCUUCCACUAUCCGGUAGAUCUCUCUCUCUCUCUUUCUAUAUCGAUCGAGUCUUUGUUGCUCGGGGGUUGAAUUAGAUUGAAAACAAAUGGAUGAAUCUCCUCUGGAGCAGCAGCAGCAACAAAGUCAAUCUCAUGGGCAAGAGAAGGAAAUAGUAGUAACUGAAGGUAGUGCCUUUGUGCAUGGUGAGCCUCCUCCUCCUUCUCAAGACGUUAGUGUUCCUCCCAAAGUUGAUAGCCAA